UUCAGGGACCCGAACGGGGGAGAGCAAUGCGUUGCCAAGACCAUCUGGACGGUACACUUAACCCAGAUAAGGCCUCUGUAUAAACUUUGAAGUUUCUGGCAGGCGGGUGUGGAGAUCUAUGCGCCUUGCAGCUUCUCCAGAGAAGCCUCGCAUGAUGGUGUGGAGCUGAGCUGCAGUAGGAUUCUCUACGAUGAUGGAAAAAUCCUGAAUUUUCACUGCCUAAUAUUGAGGCCAUUAGACUCAUGCAGAUUUACAGAGGCGACGUGUCAGAUGGAGAAACCGAGCAAUGACAUCACAAAGGACCUACAUUAAGCCUGUGUCAUGUGUACUGUACUGUACAGAUUCCCAUCCCGAAGGCUUAGCUGUGCAAUGAAUGCGAUCAGCCGGUGUGUUAAGGUGACUUUUUCCCACCAUAAUUCUUCAAGUUUGGUGGUGUUAGUCUCAUUUUGCCAAUAAGGAAAUCAAGGUGUAGGUCAGUGAAGUAGCCUGCCUGUUCACUAAGGUGUGGAGAGAACUUCAGACCCCUGAUUGACAUCCCUGAACACCCUGUCUUGCUCCCUUUAUACCUGGCUGUCUGCUAAAUUUCAGAAACUCUGCACAGGGCAGAUGCUAUGUAAAGCCAUUGUUGCUUUCCAUGAAGAACUCGGCUGUGUGUUCCCUGGAACGUUUUAAAAUAUCCAUCAUUCAGAUAAACGUGGCCAUGACAGUUACUGAAUCUUGCAAGCCAAGUAAGGUCAUAGAUUUCUAAGAGAAUUUCUAUAUCUUCUUCAUUCUCAUUUCUGAGGGCUAAUGUAUUCAUAAUAUUUAAUUUAUUAAGGUCAAU